rnacentral:rRNA from 1 species
GACGAACGCUGGCGGCGUGCUUAACACAUGCAAGUCGAACGAAGUGGCGGACGGGUGAGUAACGCGUAAUCAACCUGCCCUUCAGAGGGGGACAACAGUUGGAAACGACUGCUAAUACCGCAUACUGAAGGAGGGGAUUGCGUCUGAUUAGCUAGCUGGAGGGGUAACGGCCCACCAAGGCGAUGAUCAGUAGCCGGGCUGGGAAGAUGAACCGGCACACUGGGAAUGGGACAACGGCCAGACUCCUACGGGAGGCAGGCGGUGGGGAACAUCCGCAAUGGAGGAAAGUCUGACGGAGCAACGCCGCGUGGGUGAUGACGGCCCUCGGGUUGGAAAGCUCUGUUAAGCGGGACGCGGUACCGGAAGAGAAAGCCACGGCUAACUACGUGCCAGCAGCCGCGGUAAUUC